rnacentral:lncRNA from 1 species
GACCAAACCAGUGCACAGACCAAGAGCAAUUUUUACAGGUGCCAUGAAUUCGAUUACUCAACGAUUUCACAGGAAACAAUUAAUCAUUGGUUCGAAAGCGGAUGAAGGACGGUGGCUGGUGAUGGUGGUGGGUGAGGAUGGUUGUCGAAUGUGCAAAGGACAACGAAGAUGGCGACUCCCAUCUCCAUAUGGGUCUUAUUUUGUUCAUGUUGAAAAGAAUUCAUUUUG